CAUUGCGAAAAGUCAUGCGACCUGCACUCUUUGAGAAGCAUUACUCUUUGAACGCACCUUGCGCGCACUAGUCUUCUAGUGCGAGGUCCUGUUUGAGCAUCACACACACUUGCACUUGGCCGCUACUCGCAGGCGGCUUGAACGAAUGGGGCCCGAACGACUCUAGGGCGAGCGAGACGCAGCGCGACAAGCAUCACUGCGUCGAGCCAACCCCCAAGCAAAGCUACUCGUACUAAAUAUACGAUAGUUAUGCAAUGCCGGUGGAACGCCGGCACCAGUAAAAAUCUCAAAUCAGGAUAGAGGACCCGCUGAACUUAA
rnacentral:misc_RNA from 1 species